rnacentral:rRNA from 1 species
UAGGGAAUCUUCCGCAAUGGACGCAAGUCUGACGGAGCAACGCCGCGUGAGUGAAGAAGGAUUUCGGUUCGUAAAACUCUGUUGUUAGAGAAGAACAGCGCAUAGAGUAACUGUUAUGCGUGUGACGGUAUCUAACCAGAAAGCCACGGCUAACUACGUGCCAGCAGCCGCGGUAAUACGUAGGUGGCAAGCGUUGUCCGGAUUUAUUGGGCGUAAAGCGAGCGCAGGCGGUCAAUUAAGUCUGAUGUGAAAGCCCCCGGCUCAACCGGGGAGGGUCAUUGGAAACUGGUUGACUUGAGUGCAGAAGAGGAGAGUGGAAUUCCAUGUGUAGCGGUGAAAUGCGUAGAUAUAUGGAGGAACACCAGUGGAGAAGGCGACUCUCUGGUCUGUAACUGACGCUGAGGUUCGAAAGCGUGGGUAGCAAACAGG